rnacentral:rRNA from 1 species
UACGUAGGGGGCGAGCGUUGUCCGGAAUUAUUGGGCGUAAAGAGCUCGUAGGCGGUUCGGCAAGUCACGUGUGAAAUCUCCACGCUCAACGUGGAGGCGCCACGUGAGACUGCUGUGACUCGAGUCCGGUAGGGGAGCGUGGAAUUCCCGGUGUAGCGGUGAAAUGCGCAGAGAUCGGGAGGAACACCCGUAGCGAAGGCGGCCAUCUGGACCAUUACUGACGCUGAGGCACGAAAGCGUGGGGAGCAAACAGG